rnacentral:rRNA from 1 species
UACGAAGGGGGCUAGCGUUGCUCGGAAUCACUGGGCGUAAAGGGUGCGUAGGCGGGUUUUUAAGUCAGGGUGAAAUCCUGGAGCUCAACUCCAAGAACUGCCUUUGAUACUGGGAAUCUCGAGUCCGGGAGAGGUGAGUGGAACUGCGAGUGUAGAGGUGAAAUUCGUAGAUAUUCGCAAGAACACCAGUGGCGAAGGCGGCUCACUGGCCCGGUACUGACGCUGAGGUGCGAAAGCGUGGGGAGCAAACAGG